rnacentral:rRNA from 1 species
UACAGCGGGGGCGAGCGUUGUUCGGAAUUACUGGGCGUAAAGGGCGCGUAGGCGGCCAACUAAGUCAGACGUGAAAUCCCUCGGCUCAACCGGGGAACUGCGUCUGAUACUGGAUGGCUUGAAUUCGGGAGAGGGAUGCGGAAUUCCAGGUGUAGCGGUGAAAUGCGUAGAUAUCUGGAGGAACACCGGUGGCGAAGGCGGCAUCCUGGACCGAGAUUGACGCUGAUGCGCGAAAGCCAGGGGAGCAAACGGG